GGAUGGCUGCACUUUUCUGCUCUGGUGCGAUUGCCCCGAGAAAAAGUUGUUCGAGUGGUAAUCUUAGUGCAAUCCACUUUUUCGGUGCAUCGAAUUUGUACGUUCCAGUGGCACUCCGGCACCGUCCGAGGUCACUCGAAAACUGCACUUUUUUGCCCGUUUUAAGUCAGUGCAAGCGGUGCAGUGCAAUUUCUAGCAGACGAAUUUAGAGAGUGUGUUGUUUAGUGAUAGGAGCCUUUUUUUCUUUCGUCUGUUACGUUACGUCCUCCACCGGCGUAAAAAGUGAAAAAAGCGUUCGAGUGUAUCCUCCAUUUUCCGACAACCCGGUGGAGUGCAUGACGUCACAUGACUCUUCUCGCUCCGAGCCAGUGUGCACUGGCUACUCCACCGAGUGCAGCCAUCCGAAAUCGACAUUUGUUCGUUUACCCCCAGAUAAUGGCAGGUUUGCUCGCUUUUACCUACCAUAAAUUACCGAGGUGUUAUUUAGCAGUUGAAAAUGUCCGUCUUCUUGUUUUUACGGAUGAAGAGGCGAAGCAAACAAAACAACCAGGAUUUUUGAAUUCUUAAUUGCCUCUAAAUACACAGAUUGAUUGUUGGACUAA